GGAUGAACGCUGGCGGCGUGCUUAACACAUGCAAGUCGAACGGAAAGGCCCAAGCUUGCUUGGGUACUCGAGUGGCGAACGGGUGAGUAACACGUGGGUGAUCUGCCCUGCACUUCGGGAUAAGCCUGGGAAACUGGGUCUAAUACCGGAUAGGACGAUGGUUUGGAUGCCAUUGUGGAAAGUUUUUUCGGCGUGGGAUGAGCUCGCGGCCUAUCAGCUUGUUGGUGGGGUAAUGGCCUACCAAGGCGUCGACGGGUAGCCGGCCUGAGAGGGUGUACGGCCACAUUGGGACUGAGAUACGGCCCAGACUCCUACGGGAGGCAGCAGUGGGGAAUAUUGCACAAUGGGCGCAAGCCUGAUGCAGCGACGCCGCGUGGGGGAUGACGGCCUUCGGGUUGUAAACUCCUUUCGCUAGGGACGAAGCGUUUUUGUGACGGUACCUGGAGAAGAAGCACCGGCUAACUACGUG
rnacentral:rRNA from 1 species